CCUACGGGAGGCAGCAGUGGGGAAUAUUGGGCAAUGGGCGCAAGCCUUACCCAGCAAUACCGCGUGAGUGAAGAAGGUCUUCGGUUUGUAAAGCUCUUUGAUCAGGGACGAACAGAUGACGGUACCUGAAGAACAAGCCCCGGCUAACUACGUGCCAGCAGCCGCGGUAAAACGUAGGGUGCGAGUGUUGUCCCAAAUGACUGGGCGUUAAGGGUGCGUAGGCGGCAUAAGAAGUUAGAAGUGAAAUACCCAGGGCUUAACUCCGGUGCUGCUUCUAAGACUGUUGAGCUUGAGUGCGGGAGAGGUAAAUGGAAUUCGUAGUGUAGCGGUGGAAUGCGUAGAUAUCACGAAGAACUCCGAUUGCGAAGGCAGCGUACUAAACUGCCACUGACACUGAGGCACGAAAGUGUGGGUAUCAAACAGGAUUAGAUACCCUUGUAGUC
rnacentral:rRNA from 1 species